AAGCCUCUCGGAGAUCGCCUCGGGAACAGCUUUACACCCUGAAAGGGACACGAUGCGAGGUCGCUGCUGGUCCCGGCCCCGCGGCACACCGAGGCUCAGCAGGGCGGUGCCGGCUCUGGCUGCGCUGUCCCCGCUCCCAGAGCUGCGGCAGCAGCUGCGGAGACAAGCGCAGCCUCCGGGAGCUCUGCGCUCCCCGCAGCCCCGGCCCCUGUGGCUCUGCAGCCGCUGCAGCCCAGCUCCGGGCGGCACAGCCGCUCUGGCUCCCUGCCCGUGGCCGUGAAGCGGCUCCUGGCACAGAGGGCAGCGCCGAGAAGCCUCGGCCCGGAGCGGGCAGCGUGCGGCGCUUUCUGCCCCCGCUCGGCGCCCGCAGCGCUUCGGGCUCUGAGGCACGUUCAGCUUCAUCCCGCGGCAGCCCCGAGCCGGGCACGGACACCUCCCGCCCGAGCAGCGGCCCCAGCCCGCAGCGAGCCCCGAGCUGGGGCACGACCGACCGCGGGUCCCACCUGGGCCGGAGCCGCCUCCGAGCUCCGCCGCCGCCCCGCC